rnacentral:rRNA from 1 species
CCUGGUCUUGACAUCCACAGAACUUUCCAGAGAUGGAUUGGUGCCUUCGGGAACUGUGAGACAGGUGCUGCAUGGCUGUCGUCAGCUCGUGUUGUGAAAUGUUGGGUUAAGUCCCGCAACGAGCGCAACCCUUAUCCUUUGUUGCCAGCGGUUAGGCCGGGGAACUCAAAGGAGACUGCCAGUGAUAAACUGGAGGAAGGUGGGGGAUGACGUCAAGUCAUCAUGGCCCUUACGACCAGGGCUACACACGUGCUACAAUGGCAUAUACAAAGAGAAGCGACCUCGCGAGAGCAAGCGGACCUCAUAAAGUAUGUCGUAGUCCGGAUUGGAGUCUGCAACUCGACUCCAUGAAGUCGGAAUCGCUAGUAAUCGUAGAUCAGAAUGCUACGGUGAAUACGUUCCCGGGCCUUGUACACACCGCCCGUCACACCAUGGGAGUGGGUUGCAAAAGAAGUAGGUAGCUUAACCUUCGGGAGGGCGCUUACCACUUUGUGAUUCAUGACUGGG